rnacentral:rRNA from 1 species
UCCGUAGGGGGCAAGCGUUAUCCGGAAUUACUGGGUUUAAAGGGUGCGUAGGCGGGAAGGUAAGGCGUAGAUGAGAUGGCCGCGCUUAAAGUGGGCCGCUGUCUGCGAUACUGCCUACCUUGAGGGAGGUUGAGGUAGCUGGAACGAGUGGUGUAGCGGUGAAAUGCGUAGAGAUCUCUCAGAACACUAAUUGCGAAGGCAGGCUGCUGGACCUCUUCUUACGCUGAGGCACGAAAGCGUGGGGAGCGAACAGG